UACAGAGGGGGCAAGCGUUGUUCGGAAUUACUGGGCGUAAAGGGCGCGUAGGCGGCCUGCUAAGUCGAACGUGAAAUCCCCGGGCUCAACCCGGGAACUGCGUCCGAUACUGGGGGGCUUGAAUCCGGGAGAGGGAUGUGGAAUUCCAGGUGUAGCGGUGAAAUGCGUAGAUAUCUGGAGGAACACCGGUGGCGAAGGCGGCAUCCUGGACCGGUAUUGACGCUGAGGCGCGAAAGCCAGGGGAGCAAACGGG
rnacentral:rRNA from 1 species